rnacentral:snoRNA from 1 species
CCUGCCUUUAGGGGUACAGCAGAUGUGUCUUCUGUGUCAUAUAUGUAUCAACAGGUGGCAGAAAGGAGAGGGAAUAUAUUCUACCUAUGAACAUCUGAAUUAUUAGUAGCCUAAUAUU